GGUACAUCAUCUAAUGAUAGUGAAAACUGUAACGAUGAAAAACCUGAAGAUAAUCCGCAAAAGGAUGUCAUUCUCAAUGAUACCGCUGCCAACGAAACGACAGAAGAUCAAACCAACUCAGCUGCCAAAGAAGAAUCUAAUCAGGCUCAGCCUGAAUCAUCACAAGAUAAUCAAAAUGAAUCAGAGUCAGAAACAAAUGAAAGUUCCUUACAAGAUUCCGACUCCUUAA